AAUCAACGCUGGCGGCGUGCCUCCGACAUGCAAGUCGAACGAUUAAAGCUCUCUUCGGAGAGUGUAUAGAGUGGCGCACGGGUGAGUAACACGUAAGUAAUCUACCUUUGAGUGGGGAAUAACAGUCGGAAACGGCUGCUAAUACCGCAUAACGCAGCGGCACCGCAAGGUGACAGUUGUUAAAGGAGCAAUCCGCUUAAAGAGGAGCUUGCGGCAGAUUAGCUUGUUGGUAAGGUAACGGCUUACCAAGGCUACGAUCUGUAUCCGGUCUAAGAGGACGGUCGGACACACUGACACUGAAUAACGGGUCAGACUCCUACGGGAGGCAGCAGUCGGGAAUUUUGGGCAAUGGGCGAAAGCCUGACCCAGCAACGCCGCGUGAAGGAUGAAGUAUUUCGGUAUGUAAACUUCGAAAGAAUAGGAAGAAUAAAUGACGGUACUAUUUAUAAGCUCCGGCUAACUACGUG
rnacentral:rRNA from 1 species